CUGGCCGCUGCUUACCAUGCAAGUCGAACGGAGAUUCAGCAAUGGAUCUUAGUGGCGAACGGGUGAGUAACGCGUAGGCAAUCUGCCUUCUAGAUGGGGACAACAUCCCGAAAGGGGUGCUAAUACCGAAUGUUGUACCGUUUCCGCAUGGAGAUGAUACUAAAGGUGGCCUCUGAAUAUGCUACCGCUAGAAGAUGAGCCUGCGUCUGAUUAGCUAGUUGGAGGGGUAACGGCCCACCAAGGCUUCGAUCAGUAGCCGGUCUGAGAGGAUGAACGGCCACACUGGGACUGAGACACGGCCCAGACUCCUACGGGAGGCAGCAGUGGGGAAUCUUCCGCAAUGGACGAAAGUCUGACGGAGCAACGCCGCGUGAGUGAAGAAGGUUUUCGGAUCGUAAAGCUCUUUCGUUAGGGACGAACGUGCUCUUUGUGAAUAAUGAGGAGUAAUGACGGUACCUAAAUAAGAAGCCACGGCUAACUACGUGCCAGCAGCCGCGGUAAUACGUAGGUGGCAAGCGUUGUCCGGAAUUAUUGGGCGUAAAGCGCGCGCAGGCGGGAUAUCAAGUCUGUCUUAAAAGUGCGAGGCUCAACCUCGUGAGGGGACGGAAACUGGUAUUCUUGAGUGUCGGAGAGGAAAGUGGAAUUCCAAGUGUAGCGGUGAAAUGCGUAGAGAUUUGGAAGAACACCAGUGGCGAAGGCGACUUUCUGGACGAUGUCUGACGCUGAGGCGCGAAAGCUAGGGGAGCGAACGGGAUUAGAUACCCCGGUAGUCCUAGCCGUAAACGAUGGGUACUAGGUGUAGGGGGUAUCGACCCCUCCU
rnacentral:rRNA from 1 species